AGCGAACGCUGGCGGCGUGCCUAACACAUGCAAGUCGAGCGCGGGCAUUUCGGGGGUAACCCCGGGAUGUGCUGAGCGGCGGACGAGUGAGUAAUACGUGGACAACCUGCCUUAAAGCUUGGGAUAACUCCGGGAAACUGGAGCUAAUACCGGAUAAGACCACGGUGUCUAUGAAUGCUGAGGUAAAAGGCGGCCAGGAAACUGGCUGUUGCUUAAAGAUGGGUCCACGUCCCANCAGGUAGUUGGUGAGGUAAAGGCUCACCAAGCCAAAGACGGGUAGCUGGCCUUAGCGGGUGGUCAGCCACACGGGGACUGAGACACGGCCCCGACUCCUACGGGAGGCAGCAGUGGGGAAUAUUGGG
rnacentral:rRNA from 1 species